AAAGAUUUAGUUUAAAUUAAAAACGUUAGAUUGUAAAUCUAAAAAUUUUUAAUCUUUG
rnacentral:tRNA from 1 species